GAUGUUGGCUUAGAAGCAGCCAUUCAUUUAAAGAGUGCGUAAUAGCUCACUGGUCAAGUGGUAAUGCGCCGAAGAUGAACGGGGCUAAAUCUGAUACCGAAACUGUGGGAUAGAAAAGCAAUUAUGCGAGAAGUAUGAAGUAAAAGUGAUUAGGAAAUAUAUCAACUAGUAAAGUAAGAGAGAAAGACAUAAAACAAAAUUUGUGAAAAUACAAAGCGUAAAACUAUUAAACGAUACAAUUUCUAAAACUUAACAACAUACAACUGGCAUAAUAGCUUUUCUAUCGGUAGAGGAGCGUUGUAUAUGAGAAGAAGCAAAAAGCGUAAGCAAUUGUGGAUUAUAUACAAGUGAGAAUGCUGGCAUGAGUAGCGAAAAGGGAUGUGAGAAUCAUCCCCGUCGAAAGCCCAAGGAUUCCUGAGCAAGGCUCGUCCUCUCAGGGUAAGUCGGGACCUAAGGCGAGGCCGAAAGGCGUAGUCGAUGGACAACAGGUAGAAAUUCCUGUACUACAAGAUUGUGAUUGAGAGAAGUACUGACGCAGAAGGAAAAGUCGAGCGUGCGAAUGGUUGUGCACGUCCAAAUAACAAGCCAGAAUAUACAGGCAAAUCCGUAUAUUCGUCAACGUAAGUUAUGAUGGGGAGCAGAAAGAUGCGAAGCGACAGAUUCAAACUGCCAAGAAAAGGUGCUAUCGAAUAAUCUUGUACCCGUACCGCAAACCGACACAGGUAGGCAAGAAGAGAAUUCUAAGACGCGCGGAAGAACCUUUGUUAAGGAACUCGGCAAAAUAAUCCCGUAAGUUAGCGAGAAGGGAUGCCUAAGAAAUUAGGUCGCAGAGAAUAGGCCCAAGCGACUGUUUACCAAAAACACAAGUUUCUGCAAAAUCGAAAGAUGAAGUAUAGGAGCUGACACCUGCCCGGUGCUGGAAGGUUAAGGGGAAGGCUUAGCAUAAGCGAAGGCUAGAACUUAAGCCCCAGUAAACGGCGGCCGUAACUAUAACGGUCCUAAGGUAGCGAAAUUCCUUGUCAGGUAAGUUCUGACCCGCACGAAUGGCGUAAUGACUUGGGCACUGUCUCAACUGCAAAUCCGGCGAAGUUGUAGUGCGAGUGAAGAUGCUCGCUACCCGCGAUUGGACGGAAAGACCCCGUAGAGCUUUACUGUAGCUUAGCAUUGAGUUUCGAUAUUGUCUGUACAGGAUAGGUGGGAGACUGAGAAGCUAGGGCGUCAGCCUUAGUGGAGUCAACCUUGGGAUACCACCCUGACAGUAUUGGGAUUCUAACCGGACGCCAUGAAUCUGGUGACGGGACAUUGUUAGGUGGGCAGUUUGACUGGGGCGGUCGCCUCCUAAAAAGUAACGGAGGCGCCCAAAGGUUCCCUCAGAACGGUCGGAAAUCGUUCGAAGAGUGCAAAGGCAGAAGGGAGCCUGACUGCGACACCCACAAGUGGAGCAGGGACGAAAGUCGGGCUUAGUGAUCCGGUGGUACCUCGUGGGAGGGCCAUCGCUCAACGGAUAAAAGCUACCUCGGGGAUAACAGGCUGAUCUCCCCCAAGAGUCCACAUCGACGGGGAGGUUUGGCACCUCGAUGUCGGCUCG
rnacentral:rRNA from 1 species